CCUACGGGAGGCAGCAGUGAGGAAUAUUGGUCAAUGGACGAGAGUCUGAACCAGCCAAGUCGCGUGAAGGAUGACGGCCCUAUGGGUUGUAAACUUCUUUUAUAUGGGAAUAAAUUGUUAAACGUGUGGGGUUUUGUAUGUACCGUAUGAAUAAGGAUCGGCUAACUCCGUGCCAGCAGCCGCGGUAAUACGGAGGAUUCGAGCGUUAUCCGGAUUUAUUGGGUUUAAAGGGAGCGUAGGUGGAUCGUUAAGUUAGGUGUGAAAGUUUGGGGCUCAACCGUAAAACUGCAGUUGAUACUGGCAGGCUAGAGUACAGUAGAGGUAGGCGGAAUGCGUGGUGUAGCGGUGAAAUGCAUAGAUAUCACGAAGAACACCGAUUGCGAAGGCAGCUCACCGGACUGCAACUGACGCUGAGGCACGAAAGUGUGGGGAUCAAACAGGAUUAGAUACCCCAGUAGUC
rnacentral:rRNA from 1 species